rnacentral:rRNA from 1 species
CCUACGGGAGGCAGCAGUGGGGAAUAUUGCGCAAUGGGGGAAACCCUGACGCAGCAACGCCGCGUGAGUGAGGAAGGACUUCGGUCUGUAAAGCUCUGUUAAUGAGGAAAAAUGGUAGUUGGUCUAAUAGGCCGAUUAUUUGAUGGUACUCAUAGAGGAAGCACCGGCUAACUUCGUGCCAGCAGCCGCGGUAAUACGAAGGGUGCAAGCGUUGUUCGGAUUUAUUGGGCGUAAAGCGCGCGUAGGCGGACCCGCAAGUCAGAUGUGAAAUCUCGAGGCUCAACCUCGAAACUGCGUCUGAAACUACGGGUCUAGAAUCUCGGAGGGGGAAGGGGAAUUUCGCAUGUAGGGGUAAAAUCCGUAGAUAUGCGAAGGAACACCAGAGGCGAAGGCGCCUUCCUGGACGAGUAUUGACGCUGAGGCGCGAAAGCGUGGGGAUCAAACAGGAUUAGAUACCCCGGUAGUCCACGCUGUAAACGAUGAACACUAGGUAUUGGAGGAUUUGACCCCUUCAGUGCCGUAGCUAACGCGUUAAGUGUUCCGCCUGGGAAGUACGGUCGCAAGCUAAAACUCAAAGGAAUUGACGGCNGAGACGUGCGAGACGACGACGAGGGAGAG